CCUACGGGCGGCAGCAGUGGGGAAUAUUGCACAAUGGGGGAAACCCUGAUGCAGCGACGCCGCGUGAGUGAAGAAGUAUUUCGGUAUGUAAAGCUCUAUCAGCAGGGAAGAAAAUGACGGUACCUGACUAAGAAGCCCCGGCUAACUACGUGCCAGCAGCCGCGGUAAUACGUAGGGGGCAAGCGUUAUCCGGAUUUACUGGGUGGAAAGGGAGCGUAGACGGCCAGACAAGUCAGAAGUGAAAGCCCAGGGCUCAACCCUGGGACUGCGUUUGAAACUGCCGGGCUGGAGUGCAGGAGAGGUAAGCGGAAUUCCUAGUGUAGCGGUGAAAGGCGUAGAGAUUAGGAGGAACACCAGUGGCGAAGGCGGCUUACUGGACUGUAACUGACGUUGAGGCUCGAAAGCGUGGGGAGCAAACAGGAUUAGAUACCCCUGUAGUC
rnacentral:rRNA from 1 species